GAUGAACGCUGGCGGCGUGCCUAACACAUGCAAGUCGAGCGAACAGACGAGGAGCUUGCUGCUCUGAAGUUAGCGGCGGACGGGUGAGUAACACGUGCACAACCUAACUCUACGACUGGGAUAACUUCAGGAAACCGGAGCUAAGACUAGUAAAUAUAUUGAACCGCAUGGUUCAAUAGUGAAAGACGGUUUUGCUGUCACUGAUGGAUGGGUCCGCGCCGCAUUAGCUAGUUGGUAAGGUAACGGCUUACCAAGGCAACGAUGCGUAGGCGACCUGAGAGGGGGAUCGGCCACACUGGAACUGAAACACGACCCGGACUCCUACGGGAGGCAGCGGUACGGAAUCUUCCGCAAUGGGCGAAAGCCUGACGGAGCAACGCCGCGUGGGUGAUGAAGUUCUUCGGAUCGUAAAACUCUGUUAUUAGGGAAGAACAAAUGUGUAAGUAACUAUGCACUUCUUGACGGUACCUAAUCAGAAAGCCACGGCUAACUCCGUG
rnacentral:rRNA from 1 species